rnacentral:rRNA from 1 species
GAUGAACGCUGGCGGCGUGCUUAACACAUGCAAGUCGAGCGAGAAGUUUUGAAAAGAUUCUUCGGAUGAAAUUUAAAAUGGAAAGCGGCGGACGGGUGAGUAACGCGUAGGCAACCUGCCCCAUACAAAGGGAUAGCAUUUGGAAACGAAUAUUAAUACCUUAUGAAACUUAACUAGUGCAUGCUAGGUAGGUCAAAGAUUUAUCGGUAUGGGAUGGGCCUGCGUCUGAUUAGCUAGUUGGUGAGGUAACGGCUCACCAAGGCGACGAUCAGUAGCCGACUUGAGAGGGUUAACGGCCACAUUGGAACUGAGACACGGACCAAACUCCCACGGGAGGCAGCAGUGGGGAAUAUUGCACAAUGGGGGAAACCCGGAUGCAGCAACGCCGCGUGAACGAUGAAGGCCUUUGGGUCGUAAAGUUCUUUUCUAGGUGAUGAAAACUGACAGUAACCUAGGGGAAAGCCCCGGCUAACUCCGUG